rnacentral:rRNA from 1 species
GACGAACGCUGGCGGCGUGCUUAACACAUGCAAGUCGAACGGAAAGGCCCUGCUUUUGUGGGGUGCUCGAGUGGCGAACGGGUGAGUAACACGUGAGUAACCUGCCCUUGACUUUGGGAUAACUUCAGGAAACUGGGGCUAAUACCGGAUAGGAGCUCCUGCUGCAUGGUGGGGGUUGGAAAGUUUCGGCGGUUGGGGAUGGACUCGCGGCUUAUCAGCUUGUUGGUGGGGUAGUGGCUUACCAAGGCUUUGACGGGUAGCCGGCCUGAGAGGGUGACCGGCCACAUUGGGACUGAGAUACGGCCCAGACUCCUACGGGAGGCAGUAGUGGGGAAUAUUGCACAAUGGGCGGAAGCCUGAUGCAGCAACGCCGCGUGCGGGAUGACGGCCUUCGGGUUGUAAACCGCUUUCGCCUGUGACGAAGCGUGAGUGACGGUAAUGAGUAAAGAAGCACCGGCUAACUACGUG